ACGAACGCUGGCGGCGUGCUUAACCCAUGCACGUCGAACGGAAAGGCCCUGCUUUUGUGGGGUGCUCGAGUGGCGAACGGGUGAGUAACACGUGAGUAACCUGCCCUUGACUUUGGGAUAACUUCAUGAAACUGGGGCUAAUACCGGAUAGGAGCUCCUGCUGCAUGGUGGGGGUUGGAAAGUUUCGGCGGUUGGGGAUGGACUCGCGGCUUAUCAGCUUGUUGGUGGGGUAGUGGCUUACCAAGGCUUUGACGGGUAGCCGGCCUGAGAGGGUGACCGGCCACAUUGGGACUGAGAUACGGCCCAGACUCCUACGGGAGGCAGCAGUGGGGAAUAUUGCACAAUGGGCGGAAGCCUGAUGCAGCAACGCCGCGUGCGGGAUGACGGCCUUCGGGUUGUAAACCGCUUUCGCCUGUGACGAAGCGUGAGUGACGGUAAUGGGUAAAGAAGCACCGGCUAACUACGUG
rnacentral:rRNA from 1 species